rnacentral:rRNA from 1 species
UAGCCGUAAACGAUACUCGCUAGGUGUCGGCCACGGUGCGACCGUUGUCGGUGCCGUAGGGAAGCCGUGAAGCGAGCCACCUGGGAAGUACGGCCGCAAGGCUGAAACUUAAAGGAAUUGGCGGGGGAGCACCACAACGGGUGGAGCUUGCGGUUUAAUUGGAUUCAACGCCGAAAAACUCACCAGCAGCGACUGUUACAUGAAAGUCAGGUUGAUGACCUUACUAGAUUUUCAGAGAGGAGGUGCAUGGCGUCAGUGACU